GACGUAGUAGCGAAGCUGGUAUCGCGUCCACUCUGGUUCAACAGGUCAAAUAUAGUCUGCAAUAUGUGGAAGUCCCUCGUUCGAAUCGAGGUUAGGUCA